AGCGACGCAUAUGAGCUGUUUACAAUAUCAUAAACAAGGUUAUUUGAGUCGCUUUUUUUAUAAUAAAGUGACGCAAAUAACUCUUUUGGCUUUAGGUUUUCUGCGUUUUUUUACCUUAGUUUUUCAUCACAUACGCCUACAUUCACUAAACAAAAAGAAAAAAAAACAAGAGUUCUUCAAUUCCAGUGAAUUGCUACAGCAAAACACCCACAAAUUCGUCUCUGAAAUCCAAAAAAUUAGGCCAAAAAACUGCGAUUCCCAGCAAAUUUAACAUCUAAAUUAAAAUUGCAGUCAAGUUGAAGCAAAUCCGAGCAAUUUCGAGCAAAAAUUUAGACCAAAAACCCUAAGAAAUUCGAACCCUUAAACCCAGAAAAAUUGAUUGUUUCCGACCAAAAAUCCCCCAUUUCGAGCAAAAAUCAACUCAAAAGCAUACGAAUUCGAACCCAGAAACCCCAAAAAAUUCCUUUUUUAAGAUUCAUCUGAUUUGUGCUUUCUGGAAUCCUGAUUCGUGUUUUUCUUUGGCGUCCUAGAAAUUUUGAGCGAAAUUCUGACGGUUGCUACAGUAAUUCAACUGGAAAGUUCUGGAUUUACAGCUUUGCUGUGCUCUUGAUUGAAAAGAGAGAUGAAGAAGGGCAAUUACAAGUAUUAUCAGCUGCACUUGAGAUUGCUGAAGCAGAGAGUAUUGAUCUAGAUUCAAAAUUUCGUGCCCUGGUUGCUAUUGGAUCAUUGAUUCUUAAUUAUGCGGAAGUGAAUUCCACAAGUUGCUCGAGGUUCUGGUUGUGGACAAACGAUUAAGGCGGUAGUACGCAUACGAGAUUGUCUUCAUUUGUGUGUCCUUAACAAUUGGGUGAACGUGAGUGUGGCUACUACGUCAUGCGUUAUAUGUACAAAAUACUUGAACAUUACCAUAGCAGUGAAGAUCUUAUUCAGGAUUUUUCAAGAACUACACCGUACACCGAGGAGGAGAUAAAUGAAAUCCGAGAUAUUUGGGCAGAGUAUCUUAUAUGUAAUGUUGAACUUUAAAUUUACCACUUAGCGCAUGUUUGACUCUUGUUUUGGAUUAUAGGCUUGAAAUGAAGUAAUUUGGUUAAUUGGUGUUGGGAUGAUGAGUAUAAUGUCUAUGAUAUUGAGAUGUAAAUUAUUGGACAGGUUGUUAAUAUAAUGCCGUCAUUCCCAAUUUUAUGGGUAGGCCAAAUUACAAAGGAGACUCUGUCGAAAUUUACAUUUGCAUUAUUCAAUAAUAUUGCAUUUUAAUUUCAA